UCACCCGCUUCCCCUCCCUGAGCGGGUUUAUUCCCUUCUAGCCCCGGCCACUCGUGACCGGGGUUUUUUUU
rnacentral:ncRNA from 1 species